UACGAAGGGGGCGAGCGUUGUUCGGAUUUACUGGGCGUAAAGGGCGCGCAGGCGGUUCUGUUUGUCGAGUGUGAAAGCCCCGGGCUCAACCUGGGAACUGCAUUUGGGACUGCAAGGCUGGAGUACGGCAGAGGGAGGUGGAAUUCCACGUGUAGCAGUGAAAUGCGUAGAGAUGUGGAGGAACACCGAUGGCGAAGGCAGCCUCCUGGGCUAGUACUGACGCUCAUGCACGAAAGCGUGGGGAGCAAACAGG
rnacentral:rRNA from 1 species